rnacentral:rRNA from 1 species
UACGUAGGGUGCAAGCGUUGUCCGGAAUUAUUGGGCGUAAAGAGCUCGUAGGCGGUCUGUCGCGUCUGCUGUGAAAACUCAGGGCUUAACCCUGAGCUUGCAGUGGGUACGGGCAGACUAGAGUUCGGUAGGGGAGACUGGAAUUCCUGGUGUAGCGGUGAAAUGCGUAGAUAUUGGGAAGAACACCAGUGGCGAAAGCGGACUUCUGGGUUGUUACUGACGCUGAGGUACGAAAGCGUGGGGAGCAAACGGG